ACAGUACAAACUGAGCAGGCGAUGCCGAAAGAGGCGUGGGGCCGGGCCGCAGAUGCGGCAGCAGAUAUGAGCGAAUCAGAGACAUAUCUGUGGGACAGUG
rfam:Roseburia sp. 40_7 Ley3_66761_scaffold_43145, whole genome shotgun sequence.